ensembl:lncRNA
GUGGGAUUGGUCAGAAUUCCUUUGGAGCAGGUGGGAUUGGUCGGAAUUACUUUCGAGCAGGUGGGAUUGGUCAAAAAUCCUUUUGAGUAGUUGGGAUUGGCCAGCAUUCCUUUUGGGGCAGAUGGGAUUGGUCAGACCUCCUUUUGAGCAGAUGGGAUUGAUCACAACUCCUUUGGAGCAGAUGGGAUUGAUCAGAACUCCUUUGGAGCAGGUGGGAUUGGUCAGAACUCCUUUGGAGCAGAUGGGAUUGGUCAGAACUCCUUUUGGAGCAGACGGGAUUGGUCAGAACUCCUUUGGAGCAGACGGG